GGAGAUGGGUGGAGAUUCAUCUAGGUUGCUAGAGCUCUGCAGCUGCUGAGCUGCCCCCAUGCAAACGCGCCGUCUGCUCAGCAGGGCUCCUUUUCAAAGACGCCACCAACCUGAAUGAGCGAUGGAGACGGACGAGGAGGAAGUGCAACGACAGACGGAGUGACAGGAGCCUGCAAGAUGCAGUGAUUCAUCAUACUGGAAUCCUCAGCAUGACCUCAUCACUCCUCACCAUGACCUCAUCAUGACAUCAUCAGCGCGUCUCUCUGUGUACCUGAGG